rnacentral:rRNA from 2 species
AGAGUUUGAUCAUGGCUCAGAUUGAACGCUGGCGGCAGGCCUAACACAUGCAAGUCGAGCGGUAGCACAGAGAGCUUGCUCUCGGGUGACGAGCGGCGGACGGGUGAGUAAUGUCUGGGAAACUGCCUGAUGGAGGGGGAUAACUACUGGAAACGGUAGCUAAUACCGCAUAAUGUCGCAAGACCAAAGUGGGGGACCUUCGGGCCUCAUGCCAUCAGAUGUGCCCAGAUGGGAUUAGCUGGUAGGUGGGGUAACGGCUCACCUAGGCGACGAUCCCUAGCUGGUCUGAGAGGAUGACCAGCCACACUGGAACUGAGACACGGUCCAGACUCCUACGGGAGGCAGCAGUGGGGAAUAUUGCACAAUGGGCGCAAGCCUGAUGCAGCCAUGCCGCGUGUGUGAAGAAGGCCUUCGGGUUGUAAAGCACUUUCAGCGGGGAGGAAGGCGGUGAGGUUAAUAACCUCACCGAUUGACGUUACCCGCAGAAGAAGCACCGGCUAACUCCGUGCCAGCAGCCGCGGUAAUACGGAGGGUGCAAGCGUUAAUCGGAAUUACUGGGCGUAAAGCGCACGCAGGCGGUCUGUCAAGUCGGAUGUGAAAUCCCCGGGCUCAACCUGGGAACUGCAUUCGAAACUGGCAGGCUAGAGUCUUGUAGAGGGGGGUAGAAUUCCAGGUGUAGCGGUGAAAUGCGUAGAGAUCUGGAGGAAUACCGGUGGCGAAGGCGGCCCCCUGGACAAAGACUGACGCUCAGGUGCGAAAGCGUGGGGAGCAAACAGGAUUAGAUACCCUGGUAGUCCACGCUGUAAACGAUGUCGAUUUGGAGGUUGUGCCCUUGAGGCGUGGCUUCCGGAGCUAACGCGUUAAAUCGACCGCCUGGGGAGUACGGCCGCAAGGUUAAAACUCAAAUGAAUUGACGGGGGCCCGCACAAGCGGUGGAGCAUGUGGUUUAAUUCGAUGCAACGCGAAGAACCUUACCUGGUCUUGACAUCCACAGAACUUNNNNNNNNNNUUGGUGCCUUCGGGAACUGUGAGACAGGUGCUGCAUGGCUGUCGUCAGCUCGUGUUGUGAAAUGUUGGGUUAAGUCCCGCAACGAGCGCAACCCUUAUCCUUUGUUGCCAGCGGUUAGGCCGGGAACUCAAAGGAGACUGCCAGUGAUAAACUGGAGGAAGGUGGGGAUGACGUCAAGUCAUCAUGGCCCUUACGACCAGGGCUACACACGUGCUACAAUGGCAUAUACAAAGAGAAGCGACCUCGCGAGAGCAAGCGGACCUCAUAAAGUAUGUCGUAGUCCGGAUUGGAGUCUGCAACUCGACUCCAUGAAGUCGGAAUCGCUAGUAAUCGUAGAUCAGAAUGCUACGGUGAAUACGUUCCCGGGCCUUGUACACACCGCCCGUCACACCAUGGGAGUGGGUUGCAAAAGAAGUAGGUAGCUUAACCUUCGGGAGGGCGCUUACCACUUUGUGAUUCAUGACUGGGGUGAAGUCGUAACAAGGUAACCGUAGGGGAACCUGCGGUUGGAUCACCU